rnacentral:lncRNA from 12 species
AUGCCAAAUAACCUCAGGAUCUUGCUUUCUUCACCCCAGGGUCAACGCCAUCUUAGCAGAUGCUGGGUCCUUUCAUGGCUGGGAUGGGAAGUCGGGAUCCACAGUGGAUGUUUAGCUUUGGAAAGUGAUACUCCAAGGCUGUCCACAAACCAGCACAAGUCUGUAAACUGUUUACCACCCAUCUGUGACAAGACGAGUACUGAAAUUAAGAGUUUUCAAAACUUUGUCCCGGACUUCAUUAAAUCACUCACGGACACCACAAGGGGAUGGCUAUUAACCACCCCCAUCCCCCGCCAAGCCAUUUUGCAGAUGAUGGAGCAACCAAAGCCCAGACUGGUGAAGUAG